rnacentral:sRNA from 2 species
GGAUGCCAAACCGAAUCUCGGAUCGGGAUAUAUAACUGGUUAUUCUACCAAACUCUGGGGCCCAGCAUGCGUUGGAGGAUGGUCCACCUGGAAACAUUAUUGAAGGUAUGGUCUUUGAUGUCCAGGCUAUUGAGUAGAGCACGGGAUUAGCGGAAUAUGAGAUACGAGUUUAUGGUGUGAAGCCUUGCUUUAUCAAAUUUACCGAUGGAAAGGAACCCAGAACUGCAUAUGGAAAUGUGUUCAUGUUUGCUGGAGAUGAGAGAGUUUAAUGAGGGCGAGUUUGAUCUUAAGUUUUGGUUGCAGCGGAUGGGGAGAGGGUAGAAGGCCCUGA